UACAGAGGGGGCAAGCGUUAUUCGGAAUUAUUGGGCGUAAAGGGCGCGUAGGCGGCUUUGCAAGUGACGGGUGAAAUCCCUCGGCUUUAACCGAGGAACUGCCUGUCAAACUGCAUGGCUUGAGACCGGGAGAGGUGAGUGGAAUUCCCAGUGUAGCGGUGAAAUGCGUAGAUAUUGGGAGGAACACCAGUGGCGAAGGCGGCUCACUGGACCGGUACUGACGCUGAUGCGCGAAAGCGUGGGGAGCAAACGGGG
rnacentral:rRNA from 1 species